UACUCUGUGUGUUCAUGCAUGUGUCAGUUACAUUUUCUUGUGCACAUGAUACUGUAAAUAUCCUAAAUGAAAUUUGUCUUGGCAAUGUUUUGAUAUGGCCAUAGCAGUAAGAGCUUUUGAGGGGCUCAGCAUUUCUUGACAUGUCAGCCAAAAAUAAUACUGCUGUAUAUUUGGUCCAGUAAUGUCUGGUUUCUGAGCUAAAAUCAGGCAACUUAAGCAUAUGAAGGUAGUACAUUAUUACUUGUUCUU